UGGGGAAUAUUGCACAAUGGGCGAAAGCCUGAUGCAGCAACGCCGCGUGAAGGAUGAAGUAUUUCGGUAUGUAAACUUCUAUCAGCAGGGAAGAUAACGACGGUACCUGAGUAAGAAGCCCCGGCUAACCACGUGCCAGCAGCCGCGGUAAUACGUAGGGGCGAAGCGUUAUCCGGAUUUACUGGGUGUAAAGGGAGCGUAGACGGCGAAGAAAGUCUGAAGUGAAAGCCCGCGGCUCAACCGCGGAACUGCUUUGGAAACUUUUUUGCUGGAGUACCGGAGAGGUAAGCGGAAUUCCUAGUGUAGCGGUGAAAUGCUUAGAUAUUAGGAGGAACACCAGUGGCGAAGGCGGCUUACUGGACGGUAACUGACGUUGAGGCUCGAAAGCGUGGGGAGCAAACAGGAUUAGAUACC
rnacentral:rRNA from 1 species